GGCUCCCUGUUUUUUCACAUAGGGAGUCGGACCUGCUCGGUGAAUUAUUUUAACAGCCGCGGUACUCUGACCGUGCAAAGGUAGCAUAAUCAUUUGCCUUAUAAUUGAAGGCUAGUAUGAAUGGUUUGACGAGAAUUGAGCUGUCUCUUUUCAACUAAAUAUAAUUUUAUUAAUAGGUGAAGAAGCCUAUAUUUCAUUGAAAGACAAGAAGACCCUAUCGAGCUUUAAGGAAUUUAAUAGACUCGCCAUAUAUUUAUAGAAAAACGAGACUACUAAAAACUUUGGUUGGGGCGACUGAGGAACAAAUAAAGCUUCCUCUUGAUUUAAAAUAACUUACAGGUAUUGAUCCAAUAAAUUUGAUUAAAGGAAUUAGUUACCGUAGGGAUAACAGCAUAAUCCCCUUUGAGAGUCCUUAUCGAAAAGGGGGUUUGUGACCUCGAUGUUGGACCAGAAUACCCAGAAGAUGCAGCCGUCUUCAAUGGUUGGUCUGUUCGACCAUUAAAAUUCUACGUGAUCUGAGUUCAGACCGGCGUGAGCCAGGUCAGUUUCUAUCUUCAAUUUUGACAGUGGCCUUAGUACGAAAGGACCAGGCUACUACAAAAUAUUUGUAGCACAUUGAUUUAAUAUAAAUAAUAAUUAAGUUGAUAAACAUCAAAUUAGCAAAGAUUAAUGCAAUUGACUUAGGAUCAAUAGACAUAGGUGAAACCCCUUUAUUUGAUAUAUAAAGAUGGCAGAAAAA
rnacentral:rRNA from 1 species